rnacentral:rRNA from 1 species
GACGAACGCUGGCGGCGUGCUUAACACAUGCAAGUCGAACGGAAAGGCCCUGCUUUUGUGGUGUGCUCGAGUGGCGAACGGGUGAGUAACACGUGAGUACCCUGCCCGUGACUUUGGGAUAACUUCAGGAAACUGGGGCUAUUACCCGAUCGGAGCUCCUGCUGCAUGGUGGGGGUUGGAAAGUUUCGGCGGUUGGGGAUGGACUCGCGGCUUAUGAGCUUGGUGGUGGGGUAGUGGCUUACCGAGGCUUUGACGGGUAGCCGGCCUGAGGGGGUGAACGGCGACAUGGGGACUGAGAGAGGGACCAGAGUCCUACGGGAGACAGCAGUGGGGAAUAUUGCACAAUGGGCGGAAGCCUGAUGCAGCAGCGCCGCGUGCGGGAUGCAGGCUUUCGGGUUGUAAACCGCUUUGGCCUGUGACGGAGCGUGAGUGACGGUAAUGGGUAAAUAAGCACCGGCUAACUACGUG